AUUGAACGCUGGCGGCAGGCUUAACACAUGCAAGUCGAGCGGAGAUGAGGUGCUUGCACCUUAUCUUAGCGGCGGACGGGUGAGCAAUGCUUAGGAAUCUGCCUAUUAGUGGGGGACAACAUUCCGAAAGGAAUGCUAAUACCGCAUACGUCCUACGGGAGAAAGCAGGGGAUCUUCGGACAUUGCGCUAAUAGAUGAGCCUAAGUCGGCUUAGCUAGUUGGUGGGGUAAAGGCCUACCAAGGCGACGAUCUGUAGCGGGUCUGAGAGGAUGAACCGCCACACUGGGACUGAGACACGGCCCAGACUCCUACGGGAGGCAGCAGUGGGGAAUAUUGGACAAUGGGGGAAACCCUGAUCCAGCCAUGCCGCGUGUGUGAAGAAGGCCUUAUGGUUGUAAAGCACUUUAAGCGAGGAGGAGGCUACUGAGACUAAUACUCUUGGAUAGUGGACGUUACUCGCAGAAUAAGCACCGGCUAACUCUGUGCCAGCCGCCGCCGUAA
rnacentral:rRNA from 1 species